rnacentral:rRNA from 1 species
AACGGGUGAGUAACACGUAGACAACCUGCCCCUGGCCCGGGACAACCUCUGGAAACGGAGGCUGAUACCGGACGGGCAGGAGAGGGGCAUCCCUCUCCUGUGAAAGGCCCUGCAAGGGGCCGCGAGGGGAUGGGUCUGCGGUGCAUUAGCUAGUUGGCGGGGCAGCGGCCCACCAAGGCGACGAUGCAUAGCCGGCCUGAGAGGGCGGACGGCCACAUUGGGACUGAGACACGGCCCAGACUCCUACGGGAGGCAGCAUG